AGAGUUUGAUCCUGGCUCAGAUUGAACGCUGGCGGAAUGCUUUACACAUGCAAGUCGAACGGCAGCACGGGAGCUUGCUCCUGGUGGCGAGUGGCGAACGGGUGAGUAACGCGUCGGAACGUACCGAGUAAUGGGGGAUAACGCAGCGAAAGUUGUGCUAAUACCGCAUACGCCCUGAGGGGGAAAGUGGGGGAUCGCAAGACCUCACGUUAUUCGAGCGGCCGACGUCUGAUUAGCUUGUUGGUGGGGUAAUGGCCUACCAAGGCGACGAUCAGUAGCGGGUCUGAGAGGAUGAUCCGCCACACUGGAACUGAGACACGGUCCAGACUCCUACGGGAGGCAGCAGUGGGGAAUUUUGGACAAUGGGGGCAACCCUGAUCCAGCCAUUCCGCGUGAGUGAAGAAGGCCUUCGGGUUGUAAAGCUCUUUCAGCCGGAACGAAACGGUAUGUCUUAAUACGAUGUGCUAAUGACGGUACCGGCAGAAGAAGCACCGGCUAACUACGUGCCAGCAGCCGCGGUAAUAC
rnacentral:rRNA from 1 species